rnacentral:rRNA from 1 species
AGUGAACGCUGGCGGUAGGCCUAACACAUGCAAGUCGAACGGCAGCACAGUAAGAGCUUGCCCUUACGGGUGGCGAGUGGCGGACGGGUGAGGAAUACAUCGGAAUCUACUUUUUCGUGGGGGAUAACGUAGGGAAACUUACGCUAAUACCGCAUACGACCUACGGGUGAAAGCAGGGGAUCUUCGGACCUUGCGCGAUUGAAUGAGCCGAUGUCGGAUUAGCUAGUUGGCGGGGUAAAGGCCCACCAAGGCGACGAUCCGUAGCUGGUCUGAGAGGACGAUCAGCCACACUGGAACUGAGACACGGUCCAGACUCCUACGGGAGGCAGCAGUGGGGAAUAUUGGACAAUGGGCGCAAGCCUGAUCCAGCCAUACCGCGUGGGUGAAGAAGGCCUUCGGGUUGUAAAGCCCUUUUGUUGGGAAAGGAAAGCAGCAGGUUAAUACCCCGCUGUUCUGACGGUACCCAAAGAAUAAGCACCGGCUAACUUCGUG